rnacentral:rRNA from 1 species
AGAGUUUGAUCUUGGCUCAGGAUGAAUCGCUGGCGGCGUGCUUUAUAUCAUGCGAGUCGUACGCUUUGUGCUUAAUUGAUAUGAUGAGCUUGCUCUUGAUUUGAUUUUUUGAUUUCAAAGAGUGGCGAACGGGUGAGUAACACGUGGGUAACCUACCUCUUAGCAGGGGAUAACAUUUGGAAACAAGUGCUAAUACCGUAUAAUACCAACAACCGCAUGGUUGUUGGUUGAAAGAUGGUUCUGUUAUCAUCUAAGAGAUGGACCCGCGGUGCAUUAGCUAGUUGGUAAGGUAAUGGCUUACCAAGGCAAUGAUGCAUAGCCGAGUUGAGAGACUGAUCGGCCACAAUGGGACUGAGACACGGCCCAUAUUCCUACGGGAGGCAGCAGUAGGGAAUCUUCCACAAUGGGCGCAAGCCUGAUGGAGCAACGCCGCGUGUGUGAUGAAGGGUUUCGGCUCGUAAAACACUGUUAUAAGAGAAGAACGGCACUGAGAGUAACUGUUCAGUGUGUGACGGUAUCUUACCAGAAAGGAACGGCUAAAUACGUGCCAGCAGCCGCGGUAAUACGUAUGUUCCAAGCGUUAUCCGGAUUUAUUGGGCGUAAAGCGAGCGCAGACGGUUAUUUAAGUCUGAAGUGAAAGCCCUCAGCUCAACUGAGGAAUUGCUUUGGAAACUGGAUGACUUGAGUGCAGUAGAGGAAAGUGGAACUCCAUGUGUAGCGGUGAAAUGCGUAGAUAUAUGGAAGAACACCAGUGGCGAAGGCGGCUUUCUGGACUGUAACUGACGUUGAGGCUCGAAAGUGUGGGUAGCAAACAGGAUUAGAUACCCUGGUAGUCCACACCGUAAACGAUGAGUGCUAGAUGUUCGAGGGUUUCCGC